AGAUAUGGCUGCUGGGGCCCAGAGAGCAAAGUGGACUUAUCCAAGGUCACACACUGGAUUCCUGACAGAGCAGGAUUAAACUCAGGCACAUGUUGGGAUGCACUUUCAGCCCCUUUGAAGUUAGGCAUGAUCAUGUGGCUAGUGCUGGCCAAUCAGAUGAGAACAGGAGUGCUGCUUGUGUCCUUGCCUGUGGGCAGAUAUCAAAUGCAGAAAGACCUGCUAGGAGACAGUUGCAACUGGCUGAAAAACGUUAACUUUGAAGGAGACCAAUGAGGGGCAGAUUUCCAGUCUCUCCAGCAGAUAGAGUCCACCAGACCUGCUGAUGUAGGGGAGGGGAGCUUGAGCGAAAGGGAUCUGAUGAGGAAGCUCUUCCAGGCUUGAGCA